ACGACCUUACUUGAACAGGAUCUGUUCUAUAGGUUGUACAUCCGUUUCCAUUGACACAAUGGAGACACGCACAACAAUCUGGAAGAUGAUAUAUUGCCGCGUGGGCGGAGUGUGAAUACCGGAUGCGGGCACCUUCCCCCAAUCCACAGAGGAUCGCUCUCUCAGCUAAUUGCUGAUGAGAUGCCCAUGUGGCAGUCUGACAGAUC
rnacentral:snoRNA from 1 species